rnacentral:SRP_RNA from 1 species
GCCGGGCAUGGUGGUGCAUGCCUGUAGUCCCAGCUACUAGGGAGGCUGAGGCUGGAGGAUCACUUGAGCCAGGAGUUCUGGGCUGCAGUGCACUAUGCCAAUCAGGUGUCCGAACUAAGUUCGGCAUCAAUAUGGUGACCUCCCGGGGAUCAGGGAACCACUAGGUUGCCUAAGGAGGGGUGAACCAGCCCAGGUCAGAAACGGAGCAGAUCAAAACUCCCAUGCUGAUCAGUAGUGGGAUUGCACCUGUGAAUAGCCACUGCACUCCAGCCUGGGCAAUAUAGUAAGACCCCAUCUUU